rnacentral:lncRNA from 1 species
GGUUGUCUCCUUCAGCUGCAAAGACUAUGACCGGUGUAAAACGUUUCUCUUGUGGUUCCAGAAGAAAGAGGGAGAAACUUUUACCUAUAUUCUUGCAAUCUUUAAGGAUGACUGCACUAUCUUUGACAAUAUAGAAUUUCCUCAAAAAGACGAUUUCUCAGCCAUGAGAAAGAAGAACAACUGUGAUCUGAAGAUCCAGUCAGUUAAAGUGUCCCAUUCUGCCACCUACUACUGUGCCUGCCGGUUUUCACAGUGUAUGCUUAUGAAUUUGGCUCUGGUACGAGACUCUAUGUGACAGACAAUCACGUACGUAAACCCAAAGUGACGGUCUACCCAGCGUCCAACCCUGAGUCGAAUGGGAAGACCACCCUGAUAUGUCUGGCUAGAGACAUGUUUCCAGACUUGGUCAAGAUCUCAUGGAAGAUGGAGGAUGAAUACGGCCAAACAGUGGAGGUGUCCAAAGCAGAGACGGAACAGCUAGAGCAGAGGGAGGAAGGACAGACGACCAGUAUGAUCAUCAUUGAUAAAGAGAAUGCGUACAAGAACAAAUACAGAUGUUAUGUGGAGCAUGAAGGGGACCCUCAAGAUGUUGACAUGCUAAAAGAUCCCUUCUCCUUCAUGUGCAGUCUGAACCUGGCCUCUUUGGUUUAUACAGUGAUGAUAGUGAAGAGCAUGGUGUACUGCUGUGGGCUCUCUCUCCUGCUGCACCACAGGAACAUGGGGAAGUGGACACAACACCUGUAGAAAGGAUACCACCCAGUAUGGAUCGAGUUGUAGUAGGCUGGGAAAAACAUGGAUUUUACAUCCCAUUGAGGUCUAACAUUUCAUUUGUAGGCCAAUUUUCUUAUUUUUUUUAGCUUUAUAUUUAAGAUGCUAAAAUAUUGUGAGCCAUAGAUUUCAUGUCUUCCCUUAACUUCAACUGCCAAUUACGACAUGAAUUGCAGAACAUUUCAUGUAAAUUGUGUUUCCCUGCUGAAAAUAAAAAUGAAGCCUAAUAUUACACUUUUUAUGAUUGUGGGAGCUACCCACUGCAGACACUUGAAUAAAGGUUAAGUUAAGGUUGUGUGAAAAAUAAGGAAAGCAAAUCUUGAAGGUAGAUCCUUACGAUUUAAAUGUAGACUGUUUCAUGAAAGAUGCCCUUGAGUAUCUGUCAUAGCUUAAAUUAAACUUUUUACAAAAUCUGUAUUUGAUUUAUACAAAAAUAUUAACCUAAAUAUUAUAUUUACCGAUACAUUAUUAAAUAUGUAGGGCCAUUAUUUCCAAAUGUCCUAUGUAUCAUUAUCCAAUAUAACAUUUAGUAACUUGUCAUGUGUGUAAUGAAGUGUUUUUACCCCCCAAUAAUUUAAUUUGUGUUCUAACAUAUUUUAUUCAUUAACAUGAGUAAUAGAAAAUACGUAUUUUAUAUUUUCUUUGAAGAACAAAAAUUAGUGCUUAUUGAGCAGACAAAUUGAUCAAUGAGUGAAAAUAUAUAUAUUUUUUUACAUUGAUGUUGUUUACAUUGGUAGGUUUGUACGAAGAGUGACAUUUUCCUUCGCUGCCUUCAUGAAAGAAAUGUUACAACAAACAUGGCUCUGCAAAGGAUUCUACAUACUGUAUUGGGCUGUUUUGGGCUGUUUUGUAUGAUGAAAUUGUCACCAUAACAGAAAAAAAUAAAGUUACCUAAAACCCCCCAA